GUAUAUUUUCACUUUUUUUUUAUCAACAUUCUAAACAUGAGUGGGUUGUGAAAAGUGACAUAGACCCUGAAAAGGCAAAGCCGGCCUUUCGAAGAGAAAAGCAACAGCAGUCCCGACUCGAAUGAGAAGCUCAUUCAUUCCAGGGAUCUACAAAAUGUGCACAGUUGGAAGAAAUAAUAAAUAUGAGACAAGCGUGCACACACGAGGCAGCAACAGCCUGUUCAAGUUUAAUACGAUAAUGAUCCUUCCGCAGGUUCACCUACGGAAA
rnacentral:misc_RNA from 1 species